AGAGGCAGCAACCCUGACAAGAAGUAGGUAGAACUGAGGCGAUAAUCACACUGAGAGAGUAGAGCAGAAACACAAGCGCAUGUUUCCCCUCUGGAGGUGAGAAACCAGACCAACAGACAGCAGGGAGGAAAGUUUGUCUACCUGAGUAUCGACCGAUGAUCUGCUAAUAACAACUAAAGUUUGUGGUUGGUAACUUCUCCAGCUGUUCUGGCCCAGUAACAGUAAUGAAACACUUCAGCCUUCAGGCUCAAACAAGACUUACAUCUCACCUUUUCCACCAAUGACUUGUCACUUGACUUUAUCAUUUGUCUGUGAAUGACCUGAUUUCCUCCCAAACAUUAAAUGGACUGCACUUACAUAGGACCACUCAAAGCACUUUACUAUACAAGCCACAUUCACACACUGAUGGAACAGCCAUCAGAGGCAAUUUAGGGUUCAGGAUCUUGCCCAAAGACACUUCGACAUGAUAUUUGCAUACAAGAUAUCUUAUGUGAUAUCUGCUGACUGGAGGAGCUGGAUAUCGAACCACUGACCUAAUGAUUAGUGGACGACCCGCUCUACCUCCUGAGCCACAGCCACCCAGAUUUGGUCAACAGGUUAAGGUUAUAGAGUUAUUAUUCCUAGAUAACAUUAGCUCAGAGCUAGAAUUAAGCAGUUAAAUUUGCUAGCACGAUACUGAUAAACCCUCAACAUGAUCAGCAUGGUAACAGUCAAAGGAGCUGUUGGUCCUACUUCCAUGAUGACUUGUUGAAGACUCCAAACACAACGUUUAGGACUCGACUCAGAACAUAACAACUAGGACUUGAGACUUAUUUGUCACUUGCAUUCAGUAACAUCGUCCCAACUCUGAAGCGAAGUGAUAAAUGCUAGGUUUGUAUAUCUGACUGCCCAGUUUGGAAAACACGCACCCGUCUGAGGUUGAACUUAAAUUUGAAUUUAAAAGAAAAACAGUGUUUUAAUACUAAAAUCUGAUUCUGUUACAGCUACACACUGUUCGCAUCACUGAAAUCUGAAUGCGUUAUUACAGUGAGACAACAUGGGAAAAAGAGCCAGUGCUGUGCUGGGAAGUAAUAGUGUGGGAAAAGUGCGCCUUGUGUUUUUACUGCCUUCGGUCUCUUGUCGCCUCAGUUUGCCUGGCAGGCAGCACAUCUGGGCAAAAAACAUAAAAUACAUCAACACAAUCUGUAUCAUUGAAAAAGUGUAAAAUUAAUUUAAUAUCAAUUACUGGCAAAAAAUAAUGAAUCAGUCAAAGACGUUCUGAUAACAGCAUGUGGCCACUCCUACAGUGAAUCUGACACGCACUAGUGUGGAGUUUGAUUUGAUUAGUGUCAGAUUUGACAGGAGAGGAAAUAAUCUCAUGUUGCUGAGUUAAAAUCAUAAGAUGAACAGACAAACAAAACAUAAAUAUCAAACCAGUGCUAUUUGAAAUGUUUAAAUCCUCUAACUGCAGACAUGGAGGUUACUCUCCCGUCUGCAGCUGUGAUUUUUGCCCAGAUCUUACAGCAGUGAAGGUUGUAGAGAUCCCUCCGCCCUGCAGUUCUCUGACAGCAGCACUGCAGGAUUCAGCAGCAAUGCAGCGAGAACAUGAAGUGAAUGUCGGAGAGUGAAAGGUGAGGAGGGAUGUCUCUGAUCUCUGCCUGCCCUGCUGCCCAGCAGCAUGUUAGGGUCGCUGUCUCUCACGGGAGAAGAUUUUCUUUUGUCCUUUCAACUUUUUGUUAACUUUUAUUGAGUUGUUCAUUCACUGAGGAAACAGGUGAACAAUGCAGUGUUGUUUCUGAGAGAUGAUGAUGAGGAGGAAGAGGAGGAGGAGGAGGAGGAGGAGGAGGAGGCCCAGGAGAGUUGAAAGCAGGAGCACAGAGGAACGAACGAGGCUGUGUUGAAUCGGUUUGACUGCAGAGACAAGACAAGUCGGUUUCCAGCAACUCUCUGUCGUCCUGCCGACCCAGCCGUUGCUUAGUAACUGGUCCUUUCAGCACCAGCUGAUGUCUGAAAUGCCAGGCGUCUUACCACGCAGCCGAUCAGCACUCAGCUCUGUCGCAGCUCUGAGGGAAAAGAGGAGAGAAUCAUCUCUCAAAAAAAAACUAAAACCAGAGCUGGAUGGUCAAACCUGCCAGAUCCACAGCAGCAGCAGCAGCAGAGCUCCUCAGGCGACCUGCAGAAACUCUGCUGUAAUGGGCUUCCUCAUGGUUGGAGGUCUCCUGUCAACCUUCCUCACAGGAAUCUGAACCGUCGAGCUGAAAACCCCCCCCAAGCAGAGAGAUGGUUUGAAAUGAAAUCUCUUUUUCCUCUGGGCUUUCUGCUGCAGGCAGGUUUGACUGCUAAAACAGAAAGGGGGGCGGGGGCGGGGGGGGGCUGUUAAACCAAAUGAUAAGUCAUAUUCUCCUAUGCUCCUCACGUUAGUGUGAAGCCCACCGUCAAGCCCCUCUCCCUGCAGAGAGGCAGAACACCCCCCACCCACCCCCACUCCUCCUCCCUCCUCUGAAUCUUCUGCUCAGUGAAUCUAAAAGUUUUCCAGGCUCUCCGGAGGGGUCCUCUCUGCAGGGAGGGUGACCGAACCUCUGCCUGAAGGAAAAAACAUCAACAGAAACAAAAGAAAGAUGAUUUUUUUUUUCUUCCUGAAGUAGGGCCCCCCCCCCCCAAGUGAAGCCUCUGCUGAUGGAGCGCAGCAGCAUCAACUGGGAGGUGGAUCUGGAAUCUCAUGAAUGCAACUUUAUAUGGAUUUUUUUUUUCUUUGUUAAAGUUUUUUUGGGAACUUAUAAAAGAUGUGGGGCUCCCUCCGGGCUCGGGCGGGGACCUCCCAGACAUCACAGUGAAAAUGAAAAGCAGUUUUGGUUUUUAGCCCAGGAGGACUCAUUCAGCACACGAGUGAGGAUCACUGAAGAGCUUAAUUUCCAUAAUGAGACAUCCAGCCUGUCUGCGUUCUCUCCAGUUCUGGGUCUCUAAUUACAGUUAUUGAGGGUUUUUUUAUAGUUUUUUUGUCGUUUCUUAAUAGAGUUUUUGUCAGUGUUGAGUCACCUGCUGGGAUUCAGGAAGUGUCAUGAUUUCUGUGAACGCUGGGAUAUUCCCUCAUUUAAACGUUCACAUUGAAUAUGAGUUUCCGUGGACAGAUCUUUUAUCCUCCACAUGAUUCAGAUGUUUUAUCAGUCUGAACAGUGGAGAUCUAAUGGAGUCACGGUUUUGUUUUUAUAAAAACAAAAAGGAGUUUGGUUUAACAUCCACUGACAUCCAGAGAGCCUGGGUAGAGCCUCUUUUCAAAUUAAAACACAAACUCAACUUUAUGUACAAACUUUAGAUAAAAGGAAAAAAAAAAUCUAAAAUUUCUGCCCCUUUUUUCAAACUUUUUACUAAACAUUGGCCCCAAGAAGCAGCUGCUUCCUGGUCCUGAGCUCCACUAACACCCUUUUGUCUAAAGUUGAAUUAAAAAAUUUAAUAAUUUAAAAAAACUGUCCUGAAAAGCUUUGAUUUAAAAAAAACAAAAUACCUUCAAGUUGCGUCCAUAUUUUGGUAAAAAAAAAAAAUUGAUUUAGAGUUUUAAAAAAUCCUGAUCCUCAAACUGAUUUUCAAAUAAAGCAGUUGUUUACUCCACAUCUGGACAAAAGUUAUCUCUUAUGUUAAAUCUGGAUUUUAACAACCACGCAAAAAAUUUGCCCCAAAACUAUUUUCCCACUGAGACUAUAUUCAAAGUGAUAUGCAUUUUUACAUAUAUGUACACAUUUUUCUUACAGUUGAUGAAUUAUAGUCAAAUUCUGUCUCUCCUUUGUUUAAUCUGGAAAUCUAAAUUGCCAAAAAUAAAAGCAGCUUUUUACUGCUCCACUUCAGCUCCACUGAGGCGCUGCCACUUUUGUGUAAAUGUGGAUGAAAUGGAUGGAGCUGAAAAUGGCCUGGCAGGCAGCAGCCUGUGUGUGACGGGCUGAGACACCCGGCGUGUGUCAGUGGGUUCAGGUUUUCCUGCUCUUCAGUCGUCCUCACUGAUCAGUGUGAAGUGAAGCGUCUGAUAGAAAGAUCCUCUGAUCGUAUACUGAGAAUGUAAAGUCUACUCUGACACACACUCACACACACACACACACACACACACACACACACGUAUGUAAUUCUGUACUUGUGAGGUUCAUAAUCCAUUUCCUAAUAUUAACCCCUAAACAGCUGUUAUGAGCUGGCUCUUGUGGCCACACCCAUGGCUUGGGUUAAUAAAGAAUAUUUUUAUUUAACCACAUUAAGAUAUCAAAUUAAAUCCUCCGAGUAUGCGGUGUAGAAAUCAGAAACAUCACCAGUGUGUGGUGGGCAUGAGUGAGGUAGGUGAGUGAGGAUUAAACUAAGACACUAUAACCAAACCAAAAUGUGGUGUACCUGCAGAGAGGUUAUUUAGCAGGACUUAAAUACCUUAUAUACCUUGUAUACCAUACCAGAUAUACCAGUCACCUACCUGCAGACAAAGAGACACCGAUUAGUAAAAGGAUCCCAAACCCCAGGGGUCAUCACAAACACAUUAAGGAAAUAAAAAUGUUGUUUUUUGACCUUUUAACCUUCAAAAAAUCCUCAAAAAUGUCCUUAGUUUCCGGACAUGUCAUUUUCCAAAUCAUUCACUUAGAAAAAUGUCCUCUCUUUACAGAAAGUCCUCAAUUCACCAAAAAUUUUUCAAAUUUCUUCCUUUUUCCAAAACUUUCAAAAAUGUCAUUGUCAAGUCAAGUGACAGCUUUAUUUGUGAAAAAUGUCCUCACCUUCUGACAAGUCUUCACUUGUUGUUCUCCUCACUUUCUAAAAAUGUCCUUGUUUUCCACAUGUUCUGUUUUUUCACAUUACCUGUUUGGAGCUGGUGGGGACUCACCUCCCGUCUGCGACAAAUCAGACAGAUGAAGGUUUUUCUUUGAAAUUAGGGUGUAAGUUUUAUCUGCUCUCAGUGUAAAACUCUUCAUCCUCACAAUGACAGAAGUACAAACAUUCCUGUUUAUUCUCGACCUCAGCGAGGACACACACACACACACACACGGUAAUAUACAGUAUAACAGUGUAACCACAUCUACUGCCUUUGUAUUCAUAUGCACGUCUUGUAAGCGCACACACACACACUGCUUGGUGAAAAUGACACAUAGCGAUGCGGUGGAUACACUCCCUGUAUGUCUGCACACACACUGCUGUCGAACACUCCCAGCAGCUCACUGCCUAACUACACCCUACACCCGACUCCAUCCCAUCCUCCUGUCCUCCCCCAGUCCACCUCUCCCUCGAUGUCUCCCCCUCCCCCAUUUGGCUUUCAUACUCAUUUUAUCUCUCAGACUUCCCUCUCCACCAUCUCUAUGCUUUUUAAAUUUAAUUUAGCUCCACAGGCUUGGCAGGUGAAAUACAUUUGUUUUUACACGAAGAAGGAAAAUAGUAGAUAAAUGUGGAGGGAACAAUAAAGAGGAGCUCUCUGAGAGUAAGUCGUCACACUCUGUGUUAUCUCUUCAGUUCUUCUCUUGCUCGUCUCUCCCUGCAAGAGCUAAAACUCUCAUUACUCUGCUGUCAGCUGCUGCAGGAGGCAGAAGAAAUCUGUGUGGAGGCUGUUAUUUAAGGUGCAGCUUGUGCUUCAAGGCUGUGGACAGGUGUGUAUAUUUAGUGUUAAACUGCGGGGACACACAGAAGUUUAUACACCUACAUUGUGGGGACAUACCAAGUGAGGCAGUUUAAGAUUUUCUUGAGCCUUCCAGUAGCAAGUGGAGUGGCACCAGAGAAAAGCUCAUGCAGUGAGUAAAAUCUCCCUGUUUUAAAUCUGCAGUGGCGUGACAUUGUGGGGACACAGCUCAUGCACCUACAUCGUGGGGACCUGUUUCUGCACCGUGUUGUGGGGACUCACCUCCCAGUUGGGACAGAUAAUGCAGUUUAAGCUUUUUCUUUAAAUUUAAAAUUCACUUUUAUCUGUUCUUAGAGCCUUUACCAGUAGUGAGCACUAGGUGGUGCUAGAGAGAAGUUCAUGUGGGUAAUAAAAUGUAGAGGAUGCAUGAAGGUGCUCAGUUAAUUUCAUGGCACUCCGCUAAGUAGAUUUAGACAUGUCUUAAGUAAAGUAAAAAUGUUCACGCUAAUGUUGACACUGUAGAGACGAUUUAUUUUGCAACAUGUUUUCAGUGGAUGAUUCAGAGUAACAAAUCCUCAUCUUAUUUUUCACUGCACUGAUUUCAACUUUUUGUCAUUAGCAUUUCGACCUGGUGUUUACUGAUUGGGUUGUUUGUCUCUACUUUCCUCCUCUUGAAAGAACAGAGUUUCCCUCUCUUACCAGUAUUGUGAAGUCCCAACUGUCUGAUUAAUUACUGUGAAGUGCACAGACUCUGUGAUCAAUUAAUCAAUCAAGUGCUGCACAGACCUUGAUGCAUCUUGUCUCACUAUGAAGGCAGUCCCUGUAUAUAACAAUCGCCUGCCAUGUAAUACUUGGUCCUAAUGCAUAAUAUCACAUACCACCUACACUAUAAAGCACUUUUGUUUUGCUCUAUUUGUGGGUGAGUUUUAUUCGCCCAAGUGUCAAGUCAAGUAAUUGGAGAGCAGAUGAAAAUAUAACAAAAUAAGUGUUUUUUGUGCGAACUUAAAAAUUCAAUUCAGUUGAGUUGUAUUUAUAUAGCUAGCACAAAACCACAACAUACAUUGUUUCAAGGAUCUCUACUCAGUAAGGUCAAAGCUCUACAAUAGAGAGAAACCCUGCAGUUUGAAUAGUGAACAGGUCGACAUGAAUAACAAUAAUAAUAAUAAUAAUAAACUUUAUUUAUUUUGAACUUUUCUUAACAAACUGACAAAGUGCUUUACAGAAAGAAAAAGGGGAAUUUAAAACAGCGAUUACAACCAUGAGAAAAACAAACAUGAUAGAUAUAGAUGUCUGUAUCAUGGAAAAAUAAAACGCAACUAAAUAAAACACAACAACAUAUCAAACAUUCAUAAAAGCUUUCUGAUAAAAGAAUGUUUUUAGAAUAGUUUUAAAAGACACUAAAGACGUAGCCAGUCUGAUCUCAGUGGGUAGACUGUUCCACAGUUUGGGGGCUCUGACAGCAAAGGUCACCUUUAGUCAGCAGCCGAGACCCUGGAAUAACCAGCAGAGCUCCCUCCGAUCCAAGUAGACGCCUAGGCACAUAUUGGUUUAAUAAUGAUAAAAUUUGGAGUGAGGCCAUUUAAUGCUUUGAAGGUGAUGAGUAGAAUGUAAUGUAUGUAACAGGCAGCCAGUGUAAAUUUGUAAGUAUUGGAGUAAUAUGUUCAUAUCACUUGAAGUUGAUGAAGUUGAUGUUUUACUGAAGCAAAGUGGUUUUCAUCUGUUUUGAGAAAGGCAGACAUUUUGUACAUGACUUGUUCUGCCUGAACGUCUAAUGAAUUAAGUUUGUGUUGUGAUCAAGACAUAACUGAAGCUGUUUUAAAUCACUCAUUUGUGCACCGAAGAACAAAUGUGUUCGAAUUAGUGAUUCCUGUGGGAACCUCAGUGUUUCUGGUAAGACGUGUUUAAAAUUUAAUAUGCCGCUUCUUUAAAACUAAAUUCCAUUCAUCCCCCUACAUUAGAGUAGAGGCAGAUAUUUUAAAGCCUGGACAAAUAAAACCACUAUCUGCAUGGAUAGACAUGACUACAGCUAACACAUCAGUGAGGCAUUUAAAUUUAGGCAUCUUAGCUAUAAAUAUUAGAGGGCUUAGCCAGUACAAAUUGCUCUUCAUCAACAGGUGGAGAUCAUUUAGUCUGAGCUUUAACAGCUCCAUUAGAGACACAUCUAAAUGACUCUGCUGUUUGUUAAUGGAGCCUGUUUCCCCAGGACGACAGUGAUGACUUUAAUUAUCAACUGUUUUAAGAGUGCACAGGGACAGAUGGAAACAAGAUGGAGAGAGACGAGCACCGUUCACUCACCAGAAAGUGAAGGGAAAAAAAAUGUCGGCUAAGUCUCCCUCUUCUCCUCCUUUCUGUCUCUUUUUCUUUUUAAAUCAUUGAGAGACAGAAUCAAGAAAAUUCAGCUAAAUCCAUCAAGAUAAACAUGAGACCAGCAAGAGGCAAAAAGAAAAGAGAAAGCAAGACAUCAAUUAAGCCUCUGUGGUUAAACACAGAAGGCCGAGCCACAUCCAGCAGAAACAUCUAAAGAGGAAAGAAGCUUCAUUUAUCCAGCCAAACUCAAGAGGAAAAAAACACAGCUGUGCCUGAGUAAUCAUGAGCACACAUGGGAGGAGAGUGAGACAAAUCUGACCACACACCCAACGACCAGAGAAGAAGAAACAUGAGGCUAGAUCAGAGCCGCGUUAUGUGAUGGAGGCUUCUAUUUUGUAAGAAUCACACAAAGAAAACAAAGAGAUGUUAGAACAGGUGGAGCAUUGAUCCAGCUCAGCAGUUUGUUAGUCUUAGUCCAAUGAUUACAAGAAGUGUAUUAUGUUUAUCAGAUUUCCAUCCUUUUCCAAAGUCUCAUCAUUUUAUUGAACCACAUUAAGAUAUCAAAUUAAAUCCUCCGAGUAUGCGGUGUAGAAAUCAGAAACAUUACCAGUGUGUGGUGGGCAUGAGUGAGGAUUAAACUAAGGCACUAUAACCAAACCAAAAUGUGGUGUACCUGCAGAGAGGUUAUUUAGCAGGGAGGACUUAAAUACCCUAGAACACUUCUCAUUUUUGGACGAAAAUGAAUCUAAAAAAAAAAUACACACUGGGUGUUCCAGGGUAUUUUUUUUUUUAGAUUCAUUUUCGUCCAAAAAUAAAUAGUUUGUUAAUUAGUCCAAUUACAUGUUAAGAAAUGAAUUAUAAUAUUAAAAACUGACAUCUAGAAUAGGUUUAAAAAACACCUGAUGUUGAUGAUGUUUUAUCAUGAUAAAUUAAAAAUGUAGCCUAUACAUUCUAAAAAAUUCUAGAUUUUUUCUUAUGAUCAUUUAUUUCAAGAUCUAGGAAUAAGUUUUAAGUAAAUUGCAAUGACAAGUCUUCAUUCACGCAUUUUAAUGUUAAGAAUACAAUUAUUGAUAUAACUGACUGAAUUAAGGGUGUGUGUUUGAUAUUAAAUAAAGUGUGAAAAACAAAAAUGUAAUUGUUAAAAUAUCACAAAUUCAAUUAUUGAUAUUUGGGAGAACUGAGGAACAUUUUAAACUACUUUUUGAAAUAUUUAUCCCAGAAAGAAAGAUUUUUCUUACAAACUUUUCUCAUUUUUAUUAAAUAUGUUUUGUGAUGUCAAUAACAAUUCUUAUUUUAACAUUGUAAAACAGGUUUCUUGUUGCUCAGAAGAAAGAAAAUUGAAGAAUAUCAUGUUCUUUGUGACCCUCUGUACUUUUUUUGAUCACAGCCUUUUUAAUGCAGAGACAUUACAUUUGCAGUUUAUUAUGUUUAAGAAAACAAACUGACGGACUCACAGUCGACAGCUGGUUUAAAGACAUUGGUAAAGAUGGAGCAGCUUGUUGUUGAGCGAGGCGUUCACUGUCGGCUGCUUUCUGAGUCAAGUGUUCAGGAGAAGUUUGUGUCUGAGCCUGAUCCCUUUAAUUCUGCUGUCUGCCUUUCAGCCAUCUGCAUCUUGCUCUUCCUCCUCCUCCUCCUCGCCUGUCCGCCGCCCACCGCUUACUCAUCCUCUUCAUCAUCCUGUCUUCCUCCCACACCGUCAUCCCUCCUAGUCUGUCUCGUCUUAAAGUUCACUUGAGCCUCUGUCUCUAACUCCUUCCUCCUCCUCCUCUUCCUCCUUGCCUUACACUAAGCCUGUUUACAUAGGAUUAGAAUCUCCAGCAGCUGCAUCGCUGCUGUUUUUUACCCUUUAAGGGAGUCGGGACUGGUUUUCUUCUUUCUGUGAGUGUUUCUCUGUGUUUGUUCUUGUUAAAUUUCGGGGGCUGCCGCUGCUUCUGAGCUGAACUUUGCCCUCGAACUGCUGGUUUACCCAAACUGUUUGUUUUUCCUCCCUCGCUGUACUUGAAGGGAAAAUCCACCUGAGUCAUGGAUCAAUGACCAGGAGCCCAAAGGGUCAGAUGACCCCUGGUCCAGAUUUGCUGUUUGAAGUGACUGUUAAUGUUUUGUGCUGGAAUGUCAAGCAAACGACUGCAAAGACACAAAAAAUAACUAUAAAGUGAUGUAGAAGAACAACAAAGAGGUGAAAAAUGACUAGAGACAUAUAAUGACCUGAAAAGAUUCUAAAGAGACAGAAAGCAACUACAAGGAGACACAAAACAUCUCCAAAGUGUUGUAAAAUGAUCACAGAAACCAAAUACGACCAUUUAGUGUUAGACACAAUUACAACCAUUAAGUGUUGUAAAACAGUGACAGAAUGAGGAAGAAGAACAACAGAUGGACAAAAAAUCAACAAAAUGACCAGAGAGACAAAAAAAAAGACUAGAGACAUAAACUGACCUCAAAGAGACGCUUAGGAAACACAACACAACUACAAAGUGAAGUAAAAUGACCACAAAGAGUCAAAGGAACGGCAACAAAGAGACAAUAAAGAAUAAAGAAGCUUUUGUCAUUCCAUAACUAGAGAGUUAUGUAACUAAGAGUUCUAACUGCAUCAUAUGUGGAAGGAUUUUUGGGUGGACUUUCCCUUUAAGUGCUUGCUGUUGGAUGUGCGUCUCUCCUGAAACUGUGAAGUCUCUCGUUUUAAAUUGAUUUUUUUAACAAAUAAAUGACAAACUGUUUUGGUCUUUUCAGUGUUGUGGCUUUGAAAAAGUUGUGUCACAGAAACAAACGAUCACUCCUGUAAAUUUCAGUGCAGCGUUUUCAGGGUUUCGUACGAAUCACGUGUCCUUCUCUCUGCAGUGUUUCAUUAUCUGGUGACGACAGGAAAACAGAAUCUGUGAUGUUUUCUAAGUCAUGACACUGUAUUAUACCUUUAACGUUGUAUUUUAUCAAUGCAAAGUUUUUAGUUUUGAUAAAGAAUUUAAGUACGCGCUUCAUGGACACGUGAGCUUUUUUUCUUUCUUUGAUUUUAUUUUUCGGCUCUGCUCUGCACUCAAAAACAAACGAAACAGGAAAACAACUGGUCGUAUGAAACAGCAAAUCAAAGUCAAAUUUAACCACUGAAAUCAUAAAACUGAAAUCUUUUAAUUUGAAAAUCAUGUUGAAUUUCUCUCUGCAUUUUUAGAUUCUUUUAACUUUUGAACUUGAAGUCACAAAAAUGUAUUAAAAAUAUUAUGUAUUAUUAAUUUUGAAAAUGAACAUUAAAAUAAAAAUCAGAUUUCAAACUUACACUUUAUUGUCAAUGAGAAUCAGGAAAGAAAUGGUCAGGUCCAGCUUAGUUUUUCUGUUUUAUUAAUAAAAUAGUGUGUAACUUUGUCCCUCUCUUUUUUUUUCUUUUUUUUUUUGAAUAGCAAUUUUUUUUUUUAUUGCAAAAGGUCACCUUUAAAACAAGCAGAAAUCUAUAAAGUUUGAUUAUUUGCAUUGGUGAUUUUAGUGUAGGCUACAUGAUUUUCAAAGUAAAAUAUUUAAUUGUUGAAUCUAAGUAUUUAGAAAUCCAAAACAUGGAAAUUGAAGUUUGAAAUCACAUGUCAUUAAUUCAGUGGUUUAUAUCGUCCACUCACUGGCUUUACAAAAUUGCUGGCUUGUUUCAAACAACACAACCAGCUGUUUUUCUUGCUCUUUUUUUUUUUUUACAGUGUAGGUGACGUGCAGAUUUUCUGGUUCUCUGUUUUUCUUUUUUACAGUAUAAAUGACGUGCAGAUUGUAUGUAUCAGUGUGUGAACAGAGCUCCUCUAUAUUUUCUAAGUGGUUGAAAGUUGUCAUGUAGAUUUAUCUUCCUGCCUUCUGUUGAGCUCCUUUAUGAGUCCACGCUCUUGUUUUGUAAAGAAAUAAAACUUCCUGUUGGACCAAAACUGAA